rnacentral:lncRNA from 1 species
UUUAAUACAUGUUAAAAGCUUUUGACUUCUUGACCCAAUACACUAGAAUUUUAUAUUGUGAAAAUUGAAACAAAAAAAAAAAGAAAAAUAUCUUUCUUCUUCCUUUAUUAGUGGUUGGCCAAAAAGGUGGAAUAAAGUUCUCCUUUCUUCUUCAUCUUUCUCUUUGCUCCACCCAUUUCUCUCCCAAAUUUAUAUCAUUUUCAUCAUUUUCUAUCAAUUUCUUGUAAAAUCAGCACCAUUAAACCUAUGUUGAGCAUUAU